rnacentral:rRNA from 1 species
UACGGGGGGGAGCAAGCGUUGUUCGGAUUUACUGGGCGUAAAGGGCGCGUAGGCGGCGCAACAAGUCACUUGUGAAAUCUCCGGGCUUAACCCGGAGCGGUCAAGUGAUACUGUCGUGCUAGAGUGCGGAAGGGGCUACUGGAAUUCUCCGGUGUAGCGGUGAAAUGCGUAGAGAUCCGGAAGAACACCGGUGGCGAAGGCGGCCUGCUGGGCAGUAGCUGACGCUGAGGCGCGACAGCGUGGGGGAGCAAACAGG